rnacentral:rRNA from 1 species
UACAGAGGGGGCAAGCGUUGUUCGGAAUUACUGGGCGUAAAGGGCGCGUAGGCGGCCUUCUAAGUCGAACGUGAAAUCCCUGGGCUCAACCCAGGAACUGCGUCCGAUACUGGGAGGCUUGAAUCCGGGAGAGGGAUGUGGAAUUCCAGGUGUAGCGGUGAAAUGCGUAGAUAUCUGGAGGAACACCGGUGGCGAAGGCGGCAUCCUGGACCGGUAUUGACGCUGAGGCGCGAAAGCGUGGGGAGCAAACAGG